AUUAAAGAGAACAUUGAAAUCUACAAUACCUCUUCUAUCGACGACUUAACAAUUAAUAUUUUUAUCGACUAUUGGUAUGUUUUUUAAUUUGGCAGAUGCACAGUUUUCGUCUUAAUUUUAAGUAAAAAAAAGGAAAACAAUUAAAACAUGAAUUUGAGGCUCGAUUCAAGCACGGGAUAUUUUCGGAAAAGGUUAUUGUCGCUGGAUACACAGUUUUAAGAGCGCAAUUUGCUGGCAAAGAGGACGUGAUUUUUAUAGUUGGUCUAAACUAUCGACGUUCUGCCCUGCAGCAUUCUAGUGGCAACAAUUGUCGCUUGCGUCAAUGUUACGUCAUUGGUACUGAAGCACGUAGUCUAGGCUAUGGAUAACGAAUUGAUUUUACGUAAAACACUGUAUUAGAACCCUAAAAAUAUUUCAGUAAUAUUGAAGAAGGAAACGAUAUAUACGAGACUUUUUAUUAUCGAAACGAAAGUGUCGGUUUAAUUGUACCGGAAGAACAUUCUGUUGGGAGGGAAAAGGGGAAAGGAAGAGAGUCUACUCAUUUGCGUCAUGAUCUAUUAUGCUGGCUGAAUGCCGGCUGCGAUAUAGUGAUCUUGAUAGAAACAUGGCAAUUUUCGUAAUAUAUGAAUUAUUAUUGUUAAUCUACAAAUCAUGAGAUUUCGAAAUCGGAAAAAGUAUUUAAACAAAUAGACUUGUUUGUUAUUAGAUUAUUUGGUGAUCAACAAAGUCAAAAUCGACGUAUUAUUUGUGUACUAAAUUAAAUUCAUGUUUUUCAUUCGCAUUUCAUUUUUUAUUACUGCAGGCUUUUGAAUACGCGUUUAGAGAUGUGUGCUUGAUUCGAUCGAGAUAACUGAGUAUAUUCUUAAGUA